rnacentral:rRNA from 1 species
AGCUGGCUCAGGACGAACGCUGGCGGCGUGCUUAACACAUGCAAGUCGAACGGUAAGGCCCUUCGGGGUAAGUGGCGAACGGGUGAGUAACACGUGGGUGAUCUGCCCUGCACUUCGGGAUAAGCCCGGGAAACUGGGUCUAAUACCGGAUAGGACUGCGCGGUGCAUGCCGUGUGGUGGAAAGAUUUAUCGGUGCAGGAUGGGCCCGCGGCCUAUCAGCUUGUUGGUGGGGUAAUGGCCUACCAAGGCGACGACGGGUAGCCGGCCUGAGAGGGCGACCGGCCACACUGGGACUGAGACACGGCCCAGACUCCUACGGGAGGCAGCAGUGGGGAAUAUUGCACAAUGGGCGCAAGCCUGAUGCAGCGACGCCGCGUGAGGGAUGACGGCCUUCGGGUUGUAAACCUCUUUCAGCAGGGACGAAGCGUGAGUGACGGUACCUGCAGAAGAAGCACCGGCCAACUACGUGCCAGCAGCCGCGGUAAUACGUAGGGUGCAAGCGUUGUCCGGAAUUACUGGGCGUAACAGAGCUCGUAGGCGGUUUGUCGCGUCGUCUGUGAAACCAGCAGCUCAACUGUUGGCUUGCAGGCGAUACGGGCAGACUUGAGUAUUUCAGGGGAGACUGGAAUUCCUGGUGUAGCGGUGAAAUGCGCAGAUAUCAGGAGGAACACCGGUGGCGAAGGCGGGUCUCUGGGAAAUAACUGACGCUGAGGAGCGAAAGCGUGGGUAGCGAACAGGAUUAGAUACCCUGGUAGUCCACGCCGUAAACGGUGGGCGCUAGGUGUGGGUUUCCUUCCACGGGAUCCGUGCCGUAGCUAACGCAUUAAGCGCCCCGCCUGGGGAGUACGGCCGCAAGGCUAAAACUCAAAGGAAUUUGACGGGGGCCCGCACAAGCGGCGGAGCAUGUGGAUAAUUCGAUGCAACGCGAAGAACCUUACCUGGGUUUGACAUACACCGGAAAGCCGUGGAGACACGGCCCCCCUUGUGGUCGGUGUACAGGUGGUGCAUGGCUGUCGUCAGCUCGUGUCGUGAGAUGUUGGGUUAAGUCCCGCAACGAGCGCAACCCUUGUCCUGUGUUGCCAGCACGUAAUGGUGGGGACUCGCAGGAGACUGCCGGGGUCAACUCGGAGGAAGGUGGGGACGACGUCAAGUCAUCAUGCCCCUUAUGUCCAGGGCUUCACACAUGCUACAAUGGCCGGUACAGAGGGCUGCGAUACCGUGAGGUGGAGCGAAUCCCUUAAAGCCGGUCUCAGUUCGGAUCGGGGUCUGCAACUCGACCCCGUGAAGUCGGAGUCGCUAGUAAUCGCAGAUCAGCAACGCUGCGGUGAAUACGUUCCCGGGCCUUGUACACACCGCCCGUCACGUCAUGAAAGUCGGUAACACCCGAAGCCGGUGGCCGUAUGACUGUA